ensembl:lncRNA
GCCUGAGAAAUUGCUAAAAAAGCUCUGUGCUUGCGGCCCUACCUACGUCGCUACUUAAACUACUACCCUUUUCUAUGCACAUUUUUCUGCCAGUGAGAAACAUCUAGAAAUACCUCUGAUCGCCAUCAGCUUUCUCAAGAGAACUUGCUAGGAAUGGAAAUUUUUAGGUCUAACCCCACACCCACUCAAUCUGAUCCAAGCUCAGGUUUGAGAACCACGUUCUCAGAUCUGAGGAGCAAAACCCUUCCUGCAUGCUUUGUGGGAGUAAAUAAGAUUUUUUUUGGUGAUGCUUGGCAUAAAAUAAUUCCAGAAACAUUAGCUCACUUCUCCGAGCAGAAUGCACAGAAAGUUUUUAAUGCACUGCACUGAGAUGAGAAAUAUUUACACUUUGCAGCUCUGUGGGUUUUUUCCUGAGAUUUACUUGGACGCCAAUUGACCUGAUUCACCUCGAAGGCAGCUGUAGCCGUGACUGAGCAAUCAGAGACCAACCCUGCAUCGUUUAGCAGGUGCCCCUCUUUCCCUAGCUUAUCCACACAGGUAGGACCCUUCCCAACCCGGUUUCCCUCACAGCCUCUAUUGCAUACCCCGACCACCCCGUCUCCAGAGGUGGCUGCCCGCCCUGCAAGGCCCCAGUGUGCCCAGAGAAAGUGUUUGCAUCUUCCUGGUACCCUCAAAUCCAAAACGAGUCAUCUCUGCAGCAAAUCAGGUCAUUUCCUGCACCACGCUGACUGUGAAGGCUUCGAGGGCUCCAGUUUGGGGACACCCGGACCUGGAUUAGAAGAAGCACCCUUGGGUCUCAUUUUCUUCCAUGGAUCCUCAAUUCCGUAAUCCUGGGGGUUGUGCUGCACCUUGCCAUCUGGAGCGGAGCCUGGAGAGGAGGCGGUAGUGCGGAUGGGAAGGUGGCGGCUGUGCUGCUGGCCUCCUGAGAGAGCAGCCC